GACGAACGCUGGCGGCGUGCUUAACACAUGCAAGUCGAACGGAAAGGCCCUGCUUUUGUGGGGUGCUCGAGUGGCGAACGGGUGAGUAACACGUGAGUAACCUGCCCUUGACUUUGGGAUAACUUCAGGAAACUGGGGCUAAUACCGGAUCGGAGCUCCUGCUGCAUGGUGGGGGUUGGAAAGUUUCGGCGGUUGGGGAUGGACUCGCGGCUUAUCAGCUUGUUGGUGGGGUAGUGGCUUACCAAGGCUUUGACGGGUAGCCGGCCUGAGAGGGUGACCGGCCACAUUGGGACUGAGAUACGGCCCAGACUCCUACGGGAGGCAGCAGUGGGGAAUAUUGCACAAUGGGCGGAAGCCUGAUGCAGAAACGCCGCGUGCGGGAUGACGGCCUUCGGGUUGUAAACCGCUUUCGCCUGUGACGAAGCGUGAGUGACGGUAAUGGGUAAAGAAGCACCGGCUAACUACGUG
rnacentral:rRNA from 1 species